UCACACAUGGUGUAGUGGGAACACGGCCUCUAUUUAUGAAUAAAAGUUCUUCCAUGCCUUGGAGGUGAUCCAGGGUUUGAAUCCCUGUGUCUGAG